rnacentral:rRNA from 1 species
AUACGGAGGAUGCGAGCGUUAUCCGGAUUUAUUGGGUUUAAAGGGAGCGUAGGCGGGAGCUUAAGUCAGCGGUUAAAUGGUGCGGCUCAACCGUGCCCUGCCGUUGAAACUGGGUUUCUUGAGAGUGCAAGAGGCGGAUGGAAUUCAUGGUGUAGCGGUGAAAUGCUUAGAUAUCAUGAAGAACUCCGAUUGCGAAGGCAGUCCGCUGGGGCACGUCUGACGCUGAUGCUCGAAGGUGCGGGAAUCAAACAGGAUUAGAUACCCUGGUAGUCCGCACGGUAAACGAUGAUUACCCGCUGUCGGCGGUAGACAGUCGGCGGCCAAGCGAAAGCGAUAAGUAAUCCCCCUGGGGAGUUCGCCGGCAACGGUGAAACUCAAAUGAAUUGACGGGG